UGGGGUGUCGCCAAGUGGUAAGGCAGCGGUUUUUGAUACCGCCAUUCCCAGGUUCGAAUCCUGGCACCCCAGCCA
rnacentral:tRNA from 1 species